UACGUAGGGCGCGAGCGUUGUCCGGAAUUAUUGGGCGUAAAGAGCUCGUAGGUGGCUUGUUGCGUCUGCCGUGAAAGCCCGUGGCUUAACUACGGGUCUGCGGUGGAUACGGGCAGGCUAGAGGCUGGUAGGGGGCAAGCGGAAUUCCUGGUGUAGCGGUGAAAUGCGCAGAUAUCAGGAGGAACACCGGUGGCGAAGGCGGCUUGCUGGGCCAGUUCUGACGCUGAGGAGCGAAAGCGUGGGGAGCAAACAGG
rnacentral:rRNA from 1 species